UCGGGCAGCAUCCCAUCUAGCGACUAGAAAGGAGCCUGAGGAACUGUACAAAACAGAAGACUCUUAUAUGCAGGAGGGAUCAGGACAAGGAAUUUAUACCUGCUAAAAGUGGAUUGUUUGUGGCAAGGCCACCUUCCUAUUGGUGACAGCAGGGAUCUAUCAGUUAGAUGACCUCAUUAAUGUUGACCAGGAAGGACUGUCAAAUAUGGAAGACCAAGCAUGAGCAAAGGAACUGCACCGAGACCAUGCGAUGAGGAGACUGAGACACAGAGAGGCCAUGAUCACAUACAUCACCAAUAGUUGGUGACCCAGAUAGGAUUAACUUCACUGACUGGACACUGCUCAGUCUGAGGCUGCUACAGCUGAGAAAACUGGGAGCUCUGACAACAAGCCAGCAGAAGGUAAAAAUUCUUACCAGUUCAGUCUUCCAGCCUGCAAAAUCCAAUGGAAGCAAGAGUGAAAUGCUUCUUAUAAAGUACCUGAUUGCUUGCACCAUAGGCCUCACUUUUGGAGCCCACCUGCCUCACUGCCUCCUAAAAUGAGACACAACUGUUUAACUAAACUGAUCUAUUUUCAGACUAAGAGACUGGUUCCAUAGAUGGAGCAAUCUACCAACUCAACUUCUGGACUAUAAAAUUUCUUGAAUAAAUUUUAAAGGCAGGACUGGAGGGUUUCAGAAUGAGCCUCCCCAAAAUGUGUCACUUUGGCAUGUGGAUUUAUUUGAGCUGAAGACAAUCAAGGCCCAAAUGACUCAGGAAGAACUUUUUACCUUUCCCCUUAACUGCCCAAAAGAAUUUAGAUUGAGGGCCUGGUCCAGGAAGAGAGCUAUCACCAAAGAUAGCUACAGAGAAUAUGGGCUAGGUGUGGUAAAUUGGGUGGGGGGAAGCUAGGCAGGGCCUGUGGACCAAAUUCCUCUCUGUGUCCCAUUGUCUCUGUAUGGCAUGGAAAACAUUUGUUUACCAGACAUUUGCUUUUCCUAUCUUCCUGUAAAUUGUCUUCCUUCCCUUUGAAGCCCUAGACCCCUACCCUUUUCUCCGCAGCUCAGGAUGGCAUAUAAGUCUCAACUGCCUGACUUCCUGUGGGUCUCAUAUUCUUAUGGGGCUCCUGUACAUACAUAAUUAAAUUUGUUUUUCUCCUGUUAAUCUGUCUUAUCUCAAUUUAAUUAUUAGACCAGGCAAAUGAACCUUGAAGAGUGGAGGAAUCUUUUUCUUCUCCAACAGUAAAUAUUUGAUAAAGUUUCUCUAGGCCAAUACUGUUCAUCAACACUCUAUUAUAAGCUAGUUUAUCAGUAUCUUUCUUCCGUAAUAGAAAUAGCUUUAUAGAUUUUUUUCCUGGUUAUUAAA